rnacentral:rRNA from 1 species
CUUGUACAGGAUAGGUAGGAGCCUUUGAAACGUGAGCGCUAGCUUACGUGGAGGCGCUGGUGGGAUACUACCCUAGCUGUGUUGGCUUUCUAACCCGCACCACUUAUCGUGGUGGGAGACAGUGUCAGGCGGGCAGUUUGACUGGGGCGGUCGCCUCCUAAAAGGUAACGGAGGCGCUCAAAGGUUCCCUCAGAAUGGUUGGAAAUCAUUCAUAGAGUGUAAAGGCAUAAGGGAGCUUGACUGCGAGACCUACAAGUCGAGCAGGGUCGAAAGACGGACUUAGUGAUCCGGUGGUUCCGCAUGGAAGGGCCAUCGCUCAACGGAUAAAAGCUACCCCGGGGAUAACAGGCUUAUCUCCCCCAAGAGUUCACAUCGACGGGGAGGUUUGGCACCUCGAUGUCGGCUCAUCGCAUCCUGGGGCU